GGUUUUGUAUGCACUAGUAUUACUCUGUUUAGCUUGAGGUUUGAAGCUCUAGUAUGCUUAGAGUGACCGGUUUCAUUAGUCUCUUAAUCGACAAGUGAACUGGACUAUUUUACUGUAUUUCCGUCAUACUCCUUUCAUUUAUUUAGUGACUGCAGACUGGGAAAAUGCCAUGUGUACCUUAAUCCUUGUGGUUCUCAUUUGUUCCCGGUUUGGUGAGCUUGCCCUAAGGUCUGUGGAUGCGUGCAGGGACUAUGCCCAUGGUGGUGAGGGACUACUACGACGUGCUCGGCGUGAAGAAGGACGCUGACCAGGGUGAGAUCAAGAAGGCGUAUUACGCGUGAGAAAACAUGGCACCAUCCAUGAGUCUUGCAGCGAAAGGUCCGCUCCCCUUUGGAGCGCUCCCCUCAAGCGGCGUCGUGCAGAGGCCGGUGUCAGUGACCGCCUCACUGGAGCACAAGAGUGAUUAUAAGAGGAAGCUCCUGAAGUGGUUGCCUCCCUGGCUUACUGCUGCUGCUGGUUGCUUCGCCGUCCCCUUCCCCUACAGUGCUAUAUUGCAUCACUGAUCUGCACUGUUUGGUGUGUCUCAUUCCUAGUAUUGUUAUGUUCAACCACAUUGCCAGUGUUCAGAAAUAACACCUACUCACUAUGCAAAUGCAUGCAACAUAAUCUGAAAUUCAUUCAGUUUGACUGUGUGUAAACACUAUAGUGUACAACUAUCAACUUGUUUCACUAUUCAGUUUGUCACCAUUCAACUUUCUUAGUGGGGCAUCUUUCUUG